UUCAAGCAAUAGCUCUUGUGUGUGUGCUGUGUUUUGCACAGAGAAAAAAAGAGGAAAGAAAUGUGGAUGAAGUCUUGGCUGAGAAGAUGAAAUCAACACGGUUUACACAUUUAGCAGUGCAAGUUGGAGUGAUGGGGAUUCUAUGAAGUUCAUGGAGGUUUAACAAAUUCUAGCCAGGGCAGACAUGGACAAACAGCUCACUCCUGAUACUUAACCCUGCUGAAGAACUCUGUCUUACAAUAGUCCCUCCUCAGUGUAGCUGGUUGUCACAGCGACGCCGCAUGAGACUGCCGUGAGGUCAUCAUCCCACAGUGGUGGCAGAGAAGACUCAAAGCUGUUCUAAUUUUCA